UCUCACCCCCUUUUCCCUCUGAUGAAACCUCCCACGCCGCUCCUUCUCUUUCCCCCAUCCCCGCCAGUCCGCCACCACGCGCCAAUCCCGCCGUCGCCCGUCGAUCCGGCGCGCAGUUCCACCCUCGUCUCUCUCCCUGGUCCAGUAACGUCACCCAGCCCCUUAGCUUUUCCUCCUGACGCGAAAAUGUCCUUUUGACUCCCAUCUCCGUCUUGUUGGCCAGCAGAUCUGGCAGCCCUCGGCCAUGACGCUGCGAGCUCUGGCCGGCUUGACCUCGUCAGCUCGUCGCCCCCAUUCAAUAGGUGCUGGACGCCGCUCCUCGGGACCGCGGCGGUCUUCUUCAUGGGCUCUCUCUCCCUUCACCUCCUACGCCAUGUAUCAGCCCCUUCCUGAAACUCCUCCUCAUCCGUGUGCCCCUCUGAUGUCGCCGAGUGGACCACGCCCACACCCGCCUCCGCCCGCCUGUACCAGGAUUUGCUCCUGUUGUUCAAGUUGAAUAGCAGGGAGGUGGAGGAGAUGGUGCCAUGAAGGGCUAGUGUGGUGGUGAGGUUCAAGUUCUAUAACGAGGCCAUGGUUGUUUGCAUGUCUGUUUAGUUUUUUUCUUUUGUAUGGUUGUUGAAAAACAAAGCCGAGCCUAUUAGUUUGGAAAGUAAAGUCAAGCCUAUGUGUUGAAAAAUAGUUUGAUUAACUAGCAAGUGGCCAUUUGCGUCGGUGAGUUGAGCUGGCUAGCUUGUGUUGAUGCAUGCAUGUUUGGUCAAGGCUAGCUAGUUGCGGCAGUUGGGAAUAGUACAUAAGAGAAGAGACCCUAUAUCAGCGUGUGUAAUCAGGACUGGCAUGUAUACUUGAUACUACUGUAUAGCUUAACUAGCAGUCCCUCUAAGCAAACCAACUAACAUUGAAGAGGUCCUCCAUUCAUGUCAUAGUACGUACAUUCCUAGUUCUUUUUCCUUCAGUUUUGGUUCGUAGAUGUAAUUGUAAGUUUUGUAAUCUCGCUUUUGCUUUUCUUAUCAGUAUCUUGUAGUUCUGUAACAUUUAACUUGUAUGCCUAAGGCUGAAGCAGUCACUGACAUGUUAACAUCAUGUCAUGUGUGUUCUUUCUCAAAGAUGUAGAGCAGGGUUUCUUACAGUUUGAUAAAUAUAGGCCACAUCAGAUUUUGAAGGCGGCUUUCAAAGGGGGUGAGAUGAUGCUCGUCAAGACCAGCUGAAAAGUUUAUUGGUAUAUUCCUUUUGUACACAGAGCAACGUGUAGUACUCAGUCUAUUAUUUGGAGUUGCGUUCCUGCUGAUUCAUGUAACCCUGAAAAUUGCAUGUGAAGGACCAAAAGGAAUGGGAGACAGUACUGAAGAAUCAUGAUCUAUGGCAAGGGUGAUGAUGUCUAUGGCGAUGAUUGUUAUGAUCUAUUUGGCGACGAGCAUUAUGAUCCAUAUGGUGAUGAAGGGUGACGAGUCUAGUGAUCUUUCUUCAAGACGUUCAACAAAGUGAAAUCAUGGGGUUUUGGUCAAUCUAGCUUAUGCAUAAUGCUUGGACCAUUAUAUCUUAGUUUUUUUUGCAUUUUAAACUUUCUAGAUUACUCAUCAUGAUCAAUGUAAUUCUGAUGCAACUCUUCUGAUAUUUUGAAAGUUGUGCUAUAUACAAUAUAUGUUACUUGGUCAUGUGUGGGCUGUGCAAUUCUGUGAUAUAUU